GCCAAAAACCGGUUGCAGAGAAUCGGGGGGUAGCGACUGUUUACCAAAAACACAGCACUCUGCUAAGUCGCAAGACGAUGUAUAGGGUGUGAUGCCUGCCCGGUGCCGGAAGGUUAAGAGGAGGAGUCAGCCGCAAGGCGAAGCCCUGAAUCGAAGCCCCGGUAAACGGCGGCCGUAACAAUAACGGUCCUAAGGUAGCGAAAUUCCUUGUCGGGUAAGUUCCGACCUGCACGAAUGGCAUAACGACUUCCCCACUGUCUCAGAGAGGCACUCAGCGAAGUAGCACUAGGGGUGAAGAUACCCCUUUACCCGCGGCAGGACGGAAAGACCCCGUGAACCUUUACUGUAACUUGACACUGAUUUUCGGGUUAGUUUGCGUAGGAUAGGUGGGAGGCUGUGAAGUCGGGACUCCGGUUUCGGCAGAGCCAACCUUGAAAUACCACCCUGACUAGCCUAAAAAUCUAACCCACAGCCGUCAUCCGGCUGGGAGACAAUGUCUGGUGGGCAGUUUGACUGGGGCGUCGCCUCCAAAAAAGUAACGGAGGCGCGCGAAGGUUCCCUCAGCCUGAUUACGG
rnacentral:rRNA from 1 species